rnacentral:lncRNA from 1 species
AGCCUUUGCGUGUUUGUGGAACACUUGUAGCAGCAAGGUGAGUUCUUUUUCACAUAAGAAAUUAUUAUUAAAAUUUCAGUUAUGGCAACAGCGUGUAGCCGUCUAUUUGAUUUUCUUUUGCUAAUUUAAAAAUGAAAUGGACUAGGUGAUAAAUUGAUAGUCGGUGGUGUUGUUUGAGGUGUCAACAAAUUUGGCAUCAACGAAGAUGAUGAAUAAUGAAGAUCUUCUAAACAGUGGUGGUCAAUCAUCCAUGAGUGCAUCACGUCCAAGCUCUAUUGUGUACUCGUUCUUGGAUAUAUGGCUACAUGUUUGAUGAUGAAGGUACACAUACUUUUUUUCUUAUAAACUGAUCAUGUAUAUGAAAGUGUAACACUAUUUUCUUGUGAAAUUGUAGAUGAUAAAGGCGAAGGUGAGACAGUUGUUAUUAGACCGAGUCCAAAUGACGUGAAGACGUGAAGACAUGAUCACACAUCCACCAAAGGAGUAAGUCUCUUUUAUUUUGCUCAGUUCUGAAUUUCUGUUUGUCUUUUUGUGUGUGUUUUAAGCUUGUUUGUUCUGAAUUUCUGUUCUUUGUCUGACAUUUGACUUAAAAAAAGAUGAUACUUUGUUUCUUGUCUGACAUUAGACUUGAAAAGAUGAACUGAAACCAGUUUUUACUGGUUCUGAAUUUCUUGUUUGGUAAUGGGAAUUUCAGCUUUGAAUGUCAAUCUUAUCGUUUAAACUUCCACACAAAAAGUAGAGAUUUUGAAAUUGGGUUUGUUGGAUUGGUUCAUAGCUUCAGGUUUUAAGUAAAGCGUUCUCGAGGCUUGAAAAUUGCAGCUUGCUUGAACUCUAUUUCUUCACAUACUUAUCAAAAAAAAAAACUCUAUUUCUUGAAUAUUUUACAGGAGGAUUCCAACAAGAAUGUAAGGACAAAAACAGCAGAGGCUAGGGACAAGAAUACACACCUUCGUAAAAUGCCCAAACCUUUAUAUAUUUUGUUGAACCUGAGUAAUAUUUUCCUUUUGCAACAUUUGGAUUUUUGGAGUUUGAAUUAUUAUAUAAAUAUAUUGUGUUCAAAACUUCAAAUAUUUUGAUAAGUUAUAAUAUAUAAUUUGUUAAUUUUUUAUUAGCAUUUUUUGUUAUUAAAUGUUAGUAAGUCAUAUGGUAAUUUUAUUGUGAUGUAAUAAUAUAUUUGAAUUCAGUUUAUUAA